GACGUAGGGCGCGAGCGUUGUCCGGAUUUAUUGGGCGUAAAGAGCUCGUAGGCGGCUUGUCGCGUCGAAUGUGAAAUCUCGGGGCUCAACUCCGAGCUUGCAUUCGAUACGGGCAGGCUAGAGUUCGGUAGGGGAGACUGGAAUUCCUGGUGUAGCGGUGAAAUGCGCAGAUAUCGGGAGGAACACCAGUAGCGAAGGCGAAGCACUCUGGGCCGGUACUGACGCUGGAGGAGCGAAAGCGUGGGGAGCAAACAGGG
rnacentral:rRNA from 1 species